UCUCUCUCUCUCUCUCCCUCUCUCCGUUUAUCUUUGUGGAAGCGCUGCGGUUCAGCUCCACUCACUGGAAUCCCAUGUUGGAGUCAUUCACUCGUUCCAGUGCGUUGUUGAAGCCGUUCGAUGAUGUUCUCUGUUUGGAUAAGUUUGAGUCUGUUGUACCUCAUACAACACACCGUUUCAUCAGAUGACGCGGUGUCACUGAUUUGCCCCAAGACAGUUUCAGUCAUAUCCGGCAAAAAGGUUGUGCAAAACUGUUCAAUAGAAUUUAAAAAUGAAAGUGGCUGUGAGGUUGAAGACUCCGAAUUGAGUCACUCAAAUGGCACCACUAAAUGUGGAAACGACUCAGAACCAUACAGCUGUGCCUGGGAUGCAAACUCCACUGUGACCGUGACGAUCGUUGGCGUAAAAGAGGACAAUAUCAGAGUUGAGAUCCUUACAAAAUGUGGUAUGGCUUCUGAUGAUAUCCACGUGCACAUCAACUUUGACUUCGAGCCACAUGCAUGGCGUACGAAGUCAAUGGAAGAGGAAAGCACACUCAUCAUACUGAGUGUUCUUGUUACAGUCAUCGUUGUGGCAGUCGUUGUGGCCAUUUUGUCUUGCCUUAUUAAAAAGUUAACUUCGAAAAAGAACCAAGAACACACCAUGGUGAGCCAGCAGGACCCUGUCUGAAAUCUCCAUAAGAAAAGAAAGUUUUCGUCACUUCUUUCUGACAGAACUCUUUUGGACCGACAUUGGUCAGAUGGUGUCUUGUCCACUGAAACCGGGACCAUCGACUCUUUGUGAGUGAACUGCUAAAGCUGCUGCUUUGUGCACAUACUGUAUAUUGUGUACAUAUUCGUGUGUACACUCUUUGUCCGUAGAACAAUUGAGUGCCUCUUGGCUGCUAUGACCAAAUGUAACACAGUUCAGUUUUAAUGUUUUGUACAUGCAUUUGUUGAAAAUGAAAGGUAUUCCUCAUUGUACUCCUUUUAUUAUAAAUUUAUCAACUUCCUUUCAACAAGGGCCAUUUUCUUGACACCCAAGCGAUACGAAGGAUGCAAUAAUGGACAAACAUCAGUUUGCAUUCCAUUUUUAUGGUAACCAGUGUUGGGUUAAAUAAUUAACUGGUUCCUGGAAGAAAUGGCUAAAAUUUGUAGAGAUGGGAGCUUUGAUUAGACUAAAACCUUCAGGAUGUGUCUCUAUCAAUGAGACAUUCAAGACACUCACACGUCUUUGUCCUUGUUUACCUCAAACAAACCGGUAUGGGAAAACUCACAUUAACAAUAACAUAAAUCACUGCACUCUUUUUUUUACAACACAUCUAUUAAGUGCUGUUUCUAACGGCAUUCAAGCAAUUCUGUUUACACUGUGUUUUUGUGAAUGACAUCGUGACCGGUGCGUAUAUUUCCAAAGACAUUAUUUUCAACGAGUUCUCAUAAACGAACAAGAUGUCGAAUAUUGAUGAACUGUGGACAUGAAUGGGUUCAUUUCAACCUGAGGAAACUUAAUUCAGAACCAGAACUUUAUACGGAUGAACUGGGAACAAACUCAGCACAGCAAUGACACAGACAUCAUUUAUUUCAGCAGUCUGAAUUUGACAUUAUAACACAUCUAGUUGAGAAAGCAGCGGAAAUUGCUCACUGUGCUGCUGAAGGCUGACCAAUAUGCAAUACACACCAAUAUCAAUGUAUUUCUGUAUGUGUGUUUUUUUUUAUGUAAUUAAACAAUAAUGUUGUUGCUUUGUAUACAAAAUCACUCAAAUUAUGAUCAAUUUGUAAAAAAUAAAAUAAAAUUUGAAAUGGAAAUAAACAGUUUUGAUAACUU